UAAUACGGAGGGUGCAAGCGUUAUCCGGAUUUACUGGGUUUAAAGGGUGCGUAGGUGGGCAAUUAAGUCAGCGGUGAAAUCUCCGGGCUUAACCCGGAAAUUGCCAUUGAUACUAUUUGUCUUGAAUUAUCUGGAGGUGAGCGGAAUAUGUCAUGUAGCGGUGAAAUGCUUAGAUAUGACAUAGAACACCAAUUGCGAAGGCAGCUCACUACGGAUAUAUUGACACUGAGGCACGAAAGCGUGGGGAUCAAACAGGAUUAGAUACCCUGGUAGUCCACGCCCUAAACGAUGGAUACUCGACAUCAGCGAUACACUGUUGGUGUCUGAGCGAAAGCAUUAAGUAUCCCACCUGGGAAGUACGACCGCAAGGUUG
rnacentral:rRNA from 1 species